rnacentral:lncRNA from 1 species
GGCAAUAAGGAUAUUUAGGAGAAUAAGUUGGGGAUAGUAAAGAAAUACCUAAAUGGAAAAUUAAGUUUUAUUUAUAAAUAGGAGAUUGGGUGAUAAAUUAAAUUUAUUAUUAAUAUAAAUUUAAUAAUUAAAUUAGAAAAAUAGAAUAAUGUGAGUUUGCGGUGAUAGUAUGAAUUAAAAGUGUUGAGGACUAAUGAAGUAAUUAAAAAAAUUGU